AGAAAACUGACUCACAUUUUUGUGCUUUUUAGAUUCUGUUUAACGUGAGCUCUGUUUUCCUAUUGCAGAUUGAUUCCAUUUGCAUCUUACUCCAUUUUGUUGCUUUGAGUAAAUCCUAUUUCAGAUUGAUUCCAUUUGCAUCUUCCUCCAGUUUGAUUCCAUUUCUAUAGCGAUUUCUUAUUUUUCCCCUAUUAUCAGGAGUAUGUGGCAGAAGACCGUGAAGCUAACAAGGAUGUGUCCGAACUUGAUCCCAGCCAUGUGACCGAGCUAAGAUGCUAGGCCUCUAUUGAGUGGAUUAUGAAGCGAACUUGUGCAAUUUCCUGGUGACUAAGCAUACAAGUGCUCUAACACUCCAGGUUUGUGGUGGAUUAAAUGAGUCGUACGUUGAGCUGAAGAGGCUUGUGAAUUCACAAGAAAAGUUGUACCAUAUGGCUAGCUAGUUGCAUAUUUUAUAUGUUUAGUAUUUUUGUAAGGCAUAAUAGUAUAGAUAGAAC